rnacentral:lncRNA from 1 species
UCUCCCUCUCCCGUCUCCCUCUCCCUCUCCCUCUCCCGUCUCCCUCUCCCUCUCCCUUCUCCCUCUCCCUCUCCCGUCUCCCUCUCCCUCUCCCGUCUCCCUCUCCCUCUCCCGUCUCCCUCUCCCUCUCCCGUCUCCCUCUCCCUCUCCCGUCUCCCUCUCCCUCUCCCGUCUCCCUCUCCCUCUCCCGUCUCCCGUCUCCCUCUCCCUCUCCCGUCUCCCUCUCCCUCUCCCGUCUCCCUCUCCCUCUCCCGUCUCCCUCUCCCUCUCCCGUCUCCCUCUCCCUCUCCCGUCUCCCUCUCCCUCUCCCGUCUCCCUCUCCCUCUCCCUCUCCCGUCUCCCUCUCCCUCUCCCUCUCCCGUCUCCCUCUCCCUCUCCUUUCCACGGUCUCCCUCUCAUGCCGGGCCAAAGCUGGACUGUACUGCUGCCAUCUCGGCUCGCUGCAGCCUCCCUGCCUGAUUCUCCUGCCUCAGCCUGCCGAGUGCCUGCGAUUGCAGGCGCGCGCCGCCACGCCUGACUGGUUUUCGUGUUUUUUUGGUGGGGACGGGGUUUCGCUGUGUUGGCCGGACUGGUCUCCAGCUCCUAGCCGCGAGUGAUCCGCCAGCCUCGGCCUCCCGAGGUGCCGGGAUUGCAGACGGAGUCUCAUUCACUCAGUGCUCAAUGGUGCCCAGGCUGGAGUGCAGUGGCGUGAUCUCGGCUCGCUACGGCCUCCACCUCCCAGCCGCCUGCCUUGGCCCCCCAAAGUGCGGAGAUUGCAGCCUCUGCCCGGCCGCCACCCCGUCUGGGAAGUGAGGAGCGUCUCUGCCUGGCUGCCCAUCGUCUGGGAUGUGAGGAGCCCCUCUGCCUGGCUGCCCAGUCUGGAAAGUGAGGACAGUCUCUGCCCGGCCGCCAUCCCAUCUAGGAAGUGAGGAGCGUCUCUGCCCGGCAGCCCAUCGUCUGAGAUGUGGGGAGCGCCUCUGCCCCGCCGCCCCAUCUGGGAUGUGAGGAGCGCCUCGUCCCGGCCGCGACCCCGUCUGGGAGGUGAGGAGUGUCUCUGCCCGGCCGCCCCGUCUGAGAAGUGAGGAGACCCUCUGCCUGGCAACCGCCCCGUCUGAGAAGUGAGGAGCCCCUCCGCCUGGCUGCCACCUCGUCUGGGAAGUGAGGAGCGUCUCCGCCCCCCAUCCAGGAGGGAGGUCCUACGGCACUGUCUGGUGCAUUGGACUGAGAAUCAGGAGACAAAGCUUGUGGCCCGGCCGGUCAUACUCUGAGUUGCUGCAAGUCAUGGUCUCUUUUUGUCCUUCACCUGCUGAGUGACGAGUUGGGCUGGAUGGCUUCUGUAGGAAACUCCCCACAGACUGACACAUCUGAUCCUACAAGUGUCCAUCCACAUAGCAGGGUCCCUGACACUUACCAAAGAGUGAAGCACAGUGCCAGGGACACGGUGGCCUCACUCAUUCUCACAGUAGGUGGGCAGAUGGGUUCUUCUCUCCCACCUUGCAGGGAAAUAAAAUGAAAAUGAAAGCUCACAGAGGUCAGGUGAUAGUCAACCUGCCCAAGGUCACACAGCUAGAAAAUGGCAACUGUGUUGGGUUUCAGGAGGGGUAUGAAGGAUGGGAGUGUUUGGAGGUUGGGGGCAGCCCAGCUGCUGAGACAUCCAGACAGGGCCAUGGGAGUGGAGAGCAGGGGUAAUAUGGUUUGGCUGUGUCUCCACCCAAAUCUCAGUUUGAAUUGUAUCUCCCAGAAUUCCCACCUGUUGUGGGAGGGACUCAGGGGGAGGUAAUUGAAUCAUGGGGGCCGGUCUUUCCUGUGCUAUUUUCAUGACAGUGAAUAAGCCUCACGAGAUCUGAUGAGUUUAUCAGGGGGUUUUUGCUUUUACUUCUUCAUUUUUCUCUUGCUGCCGCCACGUUAGAAGCGCCUUUUGCCUCCCACCAUGAUUCUGAGGCCUCCCCAGACAUGUGGAACUGUAAGUCCAAUUAAACCUCUUCUUGUUCCCAGUUUUGGAUAUGUCUUUAUCAACAGCAUGAAAACGGACUAAUAUAGUAAAUUAGUACAAGCAGAAUAGGGCAUUGCUGAAAAGAUACCUGAAAAUGUGGAAGCAGCUUUGGAACUAUGUAACAGGAAGAGAUUGGAACAGUUUGAAGAGCUCAGAAGAAGAUAGGAAAAUGUGGGAAAGUUUGGAACCUCAUGGAGACUUGUUGAAUGGCUUUGACAAAAAUGCUGAUAGUGAUAUGAUCAAUAAGGUCCAGGCUGAGGUGGUCUCCAGUGGAGAUGAGGAAAUAUUGGGAACUGGAGCAAAGGUGACUGUUGUUAUGUUUUGGCAAAGACACUGGAAUCAUAUUGCCCCUGCCCUAGAGAUUUGUGGAAAUUUGAACUUGAGAGAGAU